CGUCUCUCUUCUUCUCGGUGUUCUCCUAUCGAACCCCUAACUGGCGUUCUCUCUUCUUCUUCGUUGAUUUACCUUCAGGUAUCACAUCUAUCACAUCUUAAUCGAUUAUUUUGAUUAACCAAGGUUUUUUAUUUGUUGCAGGUAAAUUAAGUUUGCUUUUUAGGGUUUAAAGCUCAGCAUUCUACUCAAAAGGGUUAGGGUAUCACCUCUCUUUUUUUCUUGGUUGAUUUACCUUCAGGUAUCAUAUAUGUCUCUGUUUGCAUCGUUAAUGGAUUCAAUUAUUUUGAUCAAUUAAGGUUUUUUAUCUGUUGCAGGUUAGGUUUUUAGGUUUGCUUUUUAGGGUUUUUAAGUUUGCAGGUAACAGGUUUUUAGGUUUGCUUUUUAGGGUUUUUAAGUUCGCAGCUUAUUUGUUCAUAACAAAACGAUAUUUCUUAUUAAACAAUAAGAAAAAACACAGGAAAGCCAAAUCCUAGGGUAUUAUUCUAGAAUCAAUUACCCGAAGAAAAUAAGGAUGUAUCUUAAGUACUAGAGCAAUGACAAUGGUGAUGAAGUUUACACUAUCAAGGGUUAUUCUCAAUAAUGGUUUUACAUACUCUCUGUACAAGAUAUUAAAAAUGGGCUUCGUGUACCCUUGGAUCAGAGUGUUAUCCAUGUUGCAAGAGAUUUACCAAGAGAAAAGCUUAGUGAUUUCACAGAAGGUAGACUCUUUUACAUUUGAAGCAGCAACGGGAUAAUAAAGAGAAGGGCAUGGAAAGAAUUCUGGUGAGGAACAGAAGAUUGUAUUCUUCAUUCAACUGCUGGAAGCACUAGGUUACGUGCAAUUGAAGCUCAAAAUAUGAAUUAAGCAACUGAAGAUUGGCCAGAUGCUUUGCAGGGUGGAACAAGCCUGUUAAUAAAUUGUUAAUUUAACGUUUGCAAGUCUUAAUUUUUGCUGCACUUGGCGAUGGUUUGUUUCUUCUAGAGUAGUUAGUUCUCCUCUACUUGGUGAAGGGUUCCAUAUUUGGAGGAACCAAACCUUGCUAAAUAUUGAAUGCAAGGUUAUCAUGGUCGAAAAUGAAUAAGUUGAACAAAUUUAGUGCGUAGCUGGAAGGAUAUGGAAGUCAUUUAAUCUUCAUCUUGCUCUUCGCAUUUUGGGGAUGGAUGUCAAUGAUGUUAAGGGUGCCAGGGGAAAGCCCUAAAGAGACCUCUUCGAUCACAUAAGUGUGCUAAGAUUGCCCGUGAGAAGGUCCUUACUGCAGAUAUAGAGAUGUGCACGUUUACGGUUAUUACUCAUGUCUUAAAGUCUGUCCUUUGUGUAUAGAUAUUACUGUUUAACUGUUGUUAUUAGCAAAACUACAUGAUGCUGCCAUUUCAAUGAACGUGCCAAGAUUGUACACUAUUUUCAAAAAUAAUGUCACUAAUCAGAAA